CCUAAUUCUAACCCUAAUCCUAAAACCAAGUCUUAACCCUCAAACAGCCCUUUAAACCCUUAACGUUGUGGGGUCCAGCAUUUUGGCCCCACAAAGCUGUUGGGACCCCGCACAUAUGCUGGACUCCCGGUUUUUGGACCCC